AGCCUGACAAGCUUGCAACACCGUUUGUUGACUCCUAGAAAUAUCUAGCUUGUAGCCUUCUAUGUAACCAAAGACAGAAAUGCGCUGUGGGAAACUUCCCGGUUGAGUGCGAAUACCCAAUCGUCCGUUAGUGUCAUAUAUGGACAGGUUCCUGAAGAUGUGGUAAACACAGAACAUCUGCAUGAAGAGCCGACGUGUAAAACAGAGAAAGAAAUGUAAGAAAAAAAACUGAUUCGUGUAGGUAGAACUCGCCUUACGGAAAUCGAAAUAGUAACUAUAUACAUAGCUUUUGUCCAUUUUUAAUAUGCAUGUUUUCUAACACAAACCUUGCAGCAACAAGGAGCGGAAAAUAAUGAGUCAAGGCCCGUGACACAGACUUUCCACUUGAAGGAUGUUUACGAGUUUAAGGAUAGCUGCAUUCACAGCUGUAGAAAUUCUACAGAAUGCACAAUCAGCAGUGUAUAUUUCGACACAAAACUCUAUUUAAAGCAUAUUUUUAAAGUUUUAGCACACUGAUAUCUCCCCCGCUAACAAGUAACGUUCUCAGAAUGUUCUUUCAAUGUU